UCCAGUGGUGUGAUGACUAUACUGCUACAGAGAUCUCUAGGCCACGAUACAGCAGUCCCUAUUCUUGGCCUCUCAAUCACAUUCUGGCCUAUCAGAAGCAGUGGGAAGUACGGAGGAAGAUGAACGCGAUUGGAUGGUCUGGAAAGAGCUUGGAGCAGGUGUAUGAAGAUGUGAGUCAGUGCUGUC